GGUGAGCAAAACCAUCACCAAAGUCUUGCAAGAUGGAUUUAAAAACAUGCAGAACCCAGUGAAUUUAUUGUAUAGAAAACUAUCUAUGACUGAGAAAGAUGGUGAAUUGUUUUGAUACAGAUGAGGUUUUCUUUUGGCUAAUGAUUUGCUUUUAAUGUCACACAUGGUAUCAUAAGAAGUUGCAGCAUUCAGGCAUUUUUAAUGAAUUUGUAUUGCUUGCAUAUUAGUAGGAAUAUUUCCACUGCAGCAACCACCAUAAACAGUUUCCACACUGGGGUAUGUUAUACUGCCACCAGAAUUGGUUCUUCUGAUGGUUCAUUUCUUUUAUGCUGAGAAUUCAGGACCAAUUCAGCUUGGUUUUAUGCAUCAUUAGAGAUUUACAAUUACUCUGCUAUAGUUUCUUUCUGGAAGCCUAUCUCUCAUGGUUAAUGCUAUGGGAGUCCUGUUGUGUAGAGGCUGGUAUUAGCCACCUUAUAGCAAUAAAGCGUUUGGGAAGGAUUUAGAAUUAUGAGUGGCUAAAUUCUCUGUGCAGCAACUGUAAUACUGUUAUCCCUUGCUGAGCUUGGGUUGUAACAUUAUUUUUCUUCUCCUCAAAUUAGAAAAAAAUGCUGUUUCUUCAAGAGGUUUUGAAUCACUUACAUGCAAUUUUUUGUUGAACUGCUGCAGUCAGACAUGAGGAAUUGUGACAAAUUCCAUUUGGAUUUCAUGAUGCUUAAAACACAUUUAGAUUGUAUUAGUACGUAAUGAAAAGGAGGCCUCCUCAUUUUUUAUCUCAUUUUAAAAAAUAUUAUCAUUAUUUGGGGCUUUCUUUUGAUUUUUAGAUUUUAUGUGUGCUGCUAAAGUCAAUAAAUUUCACAGGCUUUGCCUUUGGACAAUAAGAAGUGGAUCUGUAUGUGUAAUAAUCCACAUAAUUCACAUUUUGGAUAAAUACACUAUUGCACUGAAACAAACAUGAUAUGCAGUGAAUAAUGUGGGCCUGAUCUAAAGGCCAUUAAAAUCAAUGAAAAGAUUUCAAAUUAACUUUUAUAGCCUUUAGAUCAGGCUCUAAAUGAGUAAAUUACAGUUCUGGUGUUUCCCAUUUACAUACCUGUGUGCUGCAUUUAAUAUAUUUUAUGGAAUUGAAAUUACUUGGUACUCUUUUUCAUGCUUUUUUAGGAUAAGAAUUUGCCAAGGGCAUCAACAGCAGUUUUUCCAGGCUUCAGCACAAGGAUUAUGUAGUCAAUCCACAAAUGACUCAAAUCUUUGCAAAAAUGGACAUGGUUAUCAGAGAGGCUUUGACGACAGCAAGGAAGGGAGCGCUAUCUGGCUUAUUCCAUCAGAGGCUCUUAUUCCCUCUCAUUAACAUACUCAGAACAUUAGCACCAGCCACCAGUCCCAGGGGAAUUGCUUAAAACUUUGAAGGGAAUGUGCACAAGACCUCACCCCUGCAUUAUUAUUUCAAAUAGAUCAAAUCAGAUUUGUCUUUUGUAAGGGUAGAAGAAAAGCCAGGGCACGGUGGCAUUAGGGGAGAGAUUCAAAGGUUGCAGGGAAUUUUCAAAUCUAUUGUUAUAACUUGGUAAUCUUUUUUCUUUUACAGGGUUCUUCAAUCCUGCCGAGGAGGAACAGAGCUGAUCUCUAAAUCUGCUAUCUGCUAUCUGCUGCUGUAAGUGUGAAACAGAGAUGCCUCUACCUGCUCUUUCUCAGUGCCCUGUAAUGAAAAACAUUUUUUGGAGCAACACUGGAAAUAAGCCCUCAAAAUAUCUGAUUAAACCUCUUAGGAAACUGUCACUAAUCACCUUCUGUGCUCUUGAUGGAAUGUAUUUAUGCAUUAUAAAUAUACUUACUAUGUGUUUGUGCUCCAUAAAUCACAUUCAGCACUUGUAUAUGAUGUAUAAGCAUAUUCUAUAGAAUACACGCAAAUACAGAUGCCAAACUCCCACAGAGUUCAUCACUGGAGAAUGUUUGAAGGAUCUGAUCCUUAAUAUUUAAUGAGCAAGAUGCUAUUUCCUUCCUCAGCUUUUAUCUCUGGUUUGGCAUAGUCAUUAAAUUUGUUGUUUCCUUGCAAGAUUAUAUAAUUUAUGACCUAAUUUUAGACUUUUGUAUAACUGUGCUAAAAUACUCAUGGCAUAUCUGGAUUUCUUUGUAUGAAGUGUUUCAACAUUAGGCAGCAGCUAGAACAUGACUGCUCAGCUAUGAGCUUCCCCUCAGUAAGGAGUUAAAAGCAUUAAAGGAAAACAACCCAACAAUAUUCAGAUAGCAUUACAGGAUUAGAUUGUGUUAGCUUUUGUUUGGUUUGUUUUUAUCCCUGUAAAAAUACGAUUUAGCAGCCUGCCAUGUACAGCUGUUGGCAGGAAUCACCAGGUAAUGCAGUGAUCACCCAGCAAUUCCUACUACUUAUAAUAUUUUCAUGCAGCAGCGUCUGAUUUUCAGACCGCUCUGGGACAAACUCAUGCAGCCUUCAUCACAGGAGGCAUGUACUGAGCUGGGGAAAGCAGGUGAAGAAUGGCACUUUGUGCUUUAAAGUGGCUGUCAGCCCCCUCAGCCUCCGGAGGAAGUAUUUGCUCUGCAACACCAGGCUGGCCAGGGUGAUUAUUUUUGCUGCACAAGGUGCUGCCAGAUAACUCCUAAAUGAAUUGCGCUAAAGCUGCAACCACAUUUUCUUUGUGUCUUCCCUGUGUCCAGGGUAAUUCUGAGGCGUCAUAAAUAGUGCCAUGAGUUUCAGGUGUUUUGUCAAUUUAAACCAUAUUGUUUAGGCCAGUCUUUCAUCACACUUAAUGUAUCUGCUAUUGCAUUAAUGCAUUCUGAGAGCACUUUAUCCUGGUGUUUAAGAGAAGAAGUGGCUUGCAGCUGAUGACGAGUUUAGAUGCUUGCUUUAUGCCUGCAGUACAGUUAUGAGGCUUUUCUGCUCUUUUUCUACCUCACUGUGAGGUAUCUAACACAGACGGCACAGAUGGAGUGCUGCAUCCUCAGACCAGCACCCAGAACGACAGGGACCACAUAUAUGUGUAGCUCAAUGCACCCCUCUAAAGCAGCUUAAUGCAGCACACAGGGUGAGGUGGGUGCCUAGGUGAAAGGAAAAUAUCCUUAUGAAAAGGUGACAUUAUUUCUUGGAAUAAGAAAGAUUGGAGAGUGUAUCUACUUGGUUUUAAUGGAGCAGUUCCAGGAAAGCAGCAGCAACCUAAGUGUUUUUAGUAUCACAUAAUUCAAGAGCAAAUUAAUAAUUCCAAUUACCAUUUCAGCCAUUUCUGGCCUUGGGAAACUUAUGAUAGUAUUUAUUAUUAUAUGAUUGACCUAUGAUUUCUUCAGCAUUUACAUUAGCCGCUAUGAUAUUCAUAGUAACAUCCUUUAAAUCACAUAAGCAGAUGUCAAUAGUGCACGAUGAAGUCACAUCCUGCAGAUUUUUUUAUUUACUUAAUCAAUAUUUUUCCUGGUAAAAUAACAUUGUGAGAUGCAUAAUCUCACCUCCAUGGGGCCUCCAGGGUCAUAUAUAAUCACAGAAUGCAUUUUCUAUAAUCUCAGAAAAUGAGUCAAUUCUAUCUGAGUUACAAACAGUUAUGCAAAGUCAGUAUUUCACUUCCAUCAUUGCCUGACAUCAUCUUCCACACAGUGCAAGAAAAUAUUUACUCAGCUCUUUGACAUAAAUCGCCACAAAGCCUUUGGAACAAAAAAUUGAAGAACAUGAGGAAUUAAAAUGGAAUUACUCGAUGUAAAGAAUUUAGCCCCUUUUCUGGGUGCAGGAUUUAGAUUUCUAACUUUGUCAGAUGCUUUUUGAUAUGUGGACUGGCUAUAGACACCUCAAAUCUCUGUUCUUCAGUGAAGUACCUAUGCACAAAUCAAUCGGAGAGUUGCCCGGAAUAUCCAAAGCUGGAAGCCGAUCCUCUCUCUUCAUAAUCUAAAUAUUUUCUUUGCACAAGUGAGCAGUUCUCUGGGUGAAUUAAGAUGCUGCCUUUAUUUUUUCCGGCAGCUUCCUGAGGCGCAUUGUUUCUGAUGCUUUUCCGUGCAAAGCGCUCCAGAGCAGGCAACGCUUGACAACAGCUUAUUGUUCCAUACAGGCGUUACCAGCUGUAAUUCUUGUGAGCUCUAAAAUCACUUUUUAUUCUUUCCACCCCUCCCAGCAAAUGAGAGGGCACUGACAGGCUCCUUGGUGUUGGAGUGGUGAAUUCCCAGCCCAGCCCUGAUACGCUGUCUGGAAAGGAAGCUGCCUUUGCACCAUGCAGAUGUUCUGGUGAAAGUUUGGUCCAGUACCAGACAGGAUGCAAAGCGGAACACCCAUAGCCAUCACUCUCCUGCUCUUCACAGUAGAUGUUGCUACCCUACAAUUAUCAAGAUAGGUGUGGUCUUGGAGAAUAUGACUGGAUUCUGCCCAUAACACCAGGACACCUUCUGAGUAUGCUGGUAAAGCAAUGAUUGGUUACAAAAGGUAUCAUUCUUCUGAUAAUGUAUAAAAUUAAUAACAUCCUCAGUGUUAAAACACUAGAAUAGACAUUUUACUUGUGUUUUGAGUUCUUCCAUGAGACUUCACCAAAGAUUAUGUUUCUUCUAAGGAAUUCUGUGGAUAGUUAAAAGCACCAACAGAAAGUUUAUAGCCUGGUAAAUUCCAGACAAUCAUUUAGUGAAUAUUUUCUGUUGUAAUCCUGGAGUUGCUUCCCUGCGCAGUUUCUCAGAAGAUGAUGUUAAAAAACCCUAAACAACAAAACAAUUUAAAAACAUCUAUUUAAUUUACGAUUAAAUGUAUUAUUUAUUACAAUUUGAAAGUAAAAAUUUACCUGAACCAGUGUUCCUUGAGCUCCCAACUCUGUCACUGGCUACAGUAUUGAGGUAAAUAAGGGACAUUCUUAUUGAAGCAAAUAAGGAUGCCCCUACGGCAGUAACAUAUGUGGUAACAGUCAUGGGGGGGGCUUGAGUUUUUCCAUCUUACCAAGUCCUUAGAGGUGUGGGGUCCGGACCAGCCUGUUGGCUGCUGAGUGCAGCAAUCUAUAAUUAAAAGUCAUCUUUGUAAUUCAAAGGGCUCCUGAGGUGCUCCAUACUCAGCCUUUCCCUGCCUGGGUUUCCCUCAAGCUGGCAGCAAGCUGCAGGCAGGAGAAAUGUGAAUCGGGCAGGGUUUUGUCAUGUUCACCCCAGCUGUACGCACCGAAAGCCAAGCAGCGCUGUGUGGCAGGCAAGAGGCAAAGACAAAUUGCAUGUCUGUUAGUAUGAAAUGCUGAAAUAACUAUUUUAAUACGUCUGAGAUGAUAGCUGACUUCGUGUAGAAGUGAUUUGAGAGACAGCAAAACUCAGUUGGAUGCCUUCACACGUAGUAUAAUGAGCAGAAGCUCAAAAGUUCGGGUGGUGUGGAUUUACACAGGUUUGGCAAAGCCAACGCGCUGCAGAACUGCUUUCUGACUAAAGGAGAAGUUUUCUGUGUUACUUUCAGUUCAGGAGUUGUAUUCAGCCUCAACAUGGAAGCACAGCUACAGAAAGAGCAGGGCAUUGGCAGAUAUUGUUUUUAUGCUGGUCUUUUUUUUUUUUUCUCUUAGGAAAUAAUUUUCCACUUUUUUUAUAAUUUUUUUUUUUUUUCAUCACAUGCCAUGGGAAUAGGACCUACCCAGUGGAGAAUUCAGUGUGACAGAAGAAUGGGAAGGAUGGAGAUUCCUGAGACGGUUUCGAUGCUGCUUCCACCAAGUAGAAGGGAUGUUAAACUGAAAUUGUUCAUCAAGCUGUGAAAUCAUAGGGAUUUUGUUAUUGGAAUGCCAAGAAAACAACCACUGAUUUUAUUCUUCCCCCUCCCCCUAGAUAUAAAGCAGAGAUCUUGUGUAAGAAGAGACAAUGUUGAAACAAGCAAGAUUGAGAAGGGGCUAAAUGGAAAAGCAAAAAGAAACUGUCAAAAGUUUUAAAAGCAAUUUUAUGAAGCCAUAUUUGUAUUCAAAAUCUAUGACCACUUUGAAAUCAAAAUAGCUACUGUUAGAUUAUUUGCACAAAGUAGCUUUAUAGUCAGAAACUCCCCCAUCACUUGUAUCCCACUUUAAAAAAUACAUUCUGUACCAUUCUGAAAUUCCGAAAGACCAUAAAAAUCACUUGGAUUUAUGAUGUUUUGUUGUAAUGGAGUUAGAUACAAGUAUCUGGGUUUUCCCAGAGGUAUUAUUCUGGAAUAGUCGAAUAACAUAACUUUUGGACCUGAGGGGUGUGUGUGUGAUGUGAAUACAUGAGCACUAUGAGGUGGUCUCGUGGUGUCACUGCAUUUCCUGUGCAUCACUUAUGACAGCUGAACAUCAUGGCCCCUGUAAAGCCAAACAAGAGUUUGUCAAUGACUUCAGUGGAGGCAGCAUUUCAUCCCAGGCCAGGAGGUGCUGACGGAGAGUGCCACAGGCUGGUGACCUGGAACAACUUCAAGUCAGUGAAACAGAAGGGAGAGAAUUCCUCAUCAUGUAAUUGAUCUCUUCAGAAACCCAGGGUACCCAAAUUUCACUUCAGAUUUUCUACUGAGUUUCCAUUCAUGUUGCCGCUAUAGAUAACAGGUUAAGGCAUGAUUCUUAAAGAAGUAAAGAAUUAAUUUCUCUGAGAGAUGGGUGAUAUGUAGAAGACAUUUGUGUAAUUUUGCAUUCUAAACGUGGUUUGUAUUUACAAAUAAAUUCGCAUGAAAUCUCCA